AGAUUUCUUCUCUGUGGAAUCUUUCUUGCAAAUCUAGGUCUUUGGAUACAGGUGGUGAUCUGCUGCCAGAAUAAAUAAAUUUCAGGAAGUGCCAAGGCCACUCAGCCAUUUACUGUGAUUUCUCUCCUACAUAAGGAAUUUGUAUCACCAACUUUCUUCAAGUAUCUCCUCUAUUAUAAUAUUACUAAAUUGAAGUUUUAGGAGUUGAGGCAAAAUGUAUUGGCUCCCAAGUCUUUCACAGGAGCGAGACGUUGUUGUUUAUUCUACUAUCAGUAAAUUCAUUACGAAGAAGCAUGAAUGCACAAAAUUUCCUGAGGAUUUCAGUGAGCACUCCACAGCCCUCUGAUAGACUUACCUCUGUUCCAGAGACACCUGUAGAACCUUACUAAGAAAAUGAACCCUGUACAAUAGAGUGCAGAAUAAUUCUGCUGAAGACAACACUAUUACUGCAGGAGAAAAGCUAAGCUUUGCUCAUGAAGAGCAGAGAUAUUUCCUAUUUUCCUUUAUGGAAACUGUCAUUCACAAGAAGACAUAGGGAGGAAAAAGGAGCAACGUGAAGGAAAAAAGAAGGAAUAGGAGUGGGAGGCUGCCAUGGUGAUGACCAACCUUCCACUGCUUUAAGUCCUUAAGUGUAUUACAUUCUAUAUUCUGGAUUUAAUUAUGGUGCUGGAGUGUAAAUGCUAAUAACACUGCACAGUUUUAUCUUCUCUCUCUGUCUGAUGUACAUCUAAUUAAAAUAGGCAUUAAUUAAUAUGUGCUGAACUUUAGGUGAUUAAAGUAUUAUAAAUAAUAUAUUAUAAUUUAUAGCACAUGGAUCAUUGUAAAACAGUUUAAAUUAAUGUCACCAACUAAGAUGUGACAGUUCUUGAGUGCAUUGCCUGGCAGGGAGCAGAGCAGUGUAAAGUGACUGCCUACAUCUCCAUGUCCCAGCACCCAGUAAGAGGUCAGUUUAGUUCCAGUCCCCAGGCUUCCUUCUCAAGCCAUCUGCUCUAUAUAAGAUGGGCUUUUACUUCUCUAAUUAUCCCACAUCAUCAAUGUCCUUUUGUUGUGAGUGAUACAUGGGAGAUAAUUAAUUGAAUAUUGAAAUAAAAAUUUUUAACUUUCA